CCUACGGGGUGCUGCAGUGGGGAAUAUUGGACAAUGGGCGAAAGCCUGAUCCAGCCAUGCCGCGUGUGUGAAGAAGGCCUUCGGGUUGUAAAGCACUUUCAGUGGGGAAGAAAGCCUUGGGGCUAAUACCCUCGAGGAAGGACAUCACCCACAGAAGAAGCACCGGCUAACUCCGUGCCAGCAGCCGCGGUAAUACGGAGGGUGCGAGCGUUAAUCGGAAUUACUGGGCGUAAAGCGCGCGUAGGCGGUCUGAUAAGCCGGUUGUGAAAGCCCCGGGCUCAACCUGGGAACGGCAUCCGGAACUGUCAGGCUAGAGUGCAGGAGAGGAAGGUAGAAUUCCCGGUGUAGCGGUGAAAUGCGUAGAGAUCGGGAGGAAUACCAGUGGCGAAGGCGGCCUUCUGGACUGACACUGACGCUGAGGUGCGAAAGCGUGGGUAGCAAACAGGAUUAGAUACCCUUGUAGC
rnacentral:rRNA from 1 species